GUUGCUCAUAUUUGUAUGGAAUGGGAUCGUUUGCCUACGUUUGCCGCUAGGGGCGCUGUUCCAACUGCAUACAAAAUUGGGUUA
rnacentral:pre_miRNA from 1 species